rnacentral:rRNA from 1 species
AGAGCGAACGCUGGCGGCAGGCCUAACACAUGCAAGUCGAGCGGCCGUAGCAAUACGGCAGCGGCAGACGGGAGAGUAACACGUGGGAACGUACCCUUUGGUUCGGAACAACACAGGGAAACUUGUGCUAAUACCGGAUAAGCCCUUACGGGGAAAGAUUUAUCGCCAAAGGAUCGGCCCGCGUCUGAUUAGCUAGUUGGUGGGGUAACGGCCCACCAAGGCGACGAUCAGUAGCUGGUCUGAGAGGAUGAUCAGCCUCACUGGGACUGAGACACGGCCCAGACUCCUACGGGAGGCAGCAGUGGGAAUAUUGGACAAUGGGCGCAAGCCUGAUCCAGCCAUGCCGCGUGGAUGAUGAAGGCCCUAGGGUUGUAAAGUCCUUUCGGCGGGGAAGAUAAUGACGGUACCCGCAGAAGAAGCCCGGCUAACUCGCGCCAGCAGCCGC